GGCCUGCUGGCCCAAUGGCAAGGCGCUUGACUACGAAACACUUAGGAAUGUAAAUAUUCUAGGUGUUGGACAUCAAGAGAUUGCAGGUUCGAUCCCUGCGUAGGUCA